rnacentral:rRNA from 1 species
CCUACGGGUGGCUGCAGUGAGGAAUAUUGGUCAAUGGGCGCGAGCCUGACCCAGCCAAGUCGCGUGAGGGAAGACGGUCCUAUGGAUUGUAAACCUCUUUUGUCGGGGAGCAAAAGACGCCACGCGUGGCGUUCCGAGUGUACCCGAAGAAAAAGCAUCGGCUAACUCCGUGCCAGCAGCCGCGGUAAUACGGAGGAUCCGAGCGUUAUCCGGAUUUAUUGGGUUUAAAGGGUGGGCAGGCGGAAGAUCAAGUCAGCGGUAAAAUUGAGAGGCUCAACCUCUUCGAGCCGUGGACACUGGUUUUCUUGAGUGAGUGAGAAGGAUGCGGAAUGCGGGGUGUAGCGGUGAAAUGCAUAGAUAUCACGCAGAACUCCGAUUGCGAAGGCAGAAUACCGGCGCUAAACUGACGCUGAUGCACGAAAGCGUGGGGAUCGAACAGGAUUAGAUACCCCAGUAGUC